AUUGAACGCUGGCGGAAUGCUUUACACAUGCAAGUCGAACGGCAGCACGGGGCAACCUGGUGGCGAGUGGCGAACGGGUGAGUAAUACAUCGGAACGUGCCCAAUCGUGGGGGAUAACGUAGCGAAAGUUACGCUAAUACCGCAUACGAUCUAUGGAUGAAAGCGGGGGAUCGCAAGACCUCGCGCGAUUGGAGCGGCCGAUAUCAGAUUAGGUAGUUGGUGGGGUAAAGGCCCACCAAGCCAACGAUCUGUAGCUGGUCUGAGAGGACGACCAGCCACACUGGAACUGAGACACGGUCCAGACUCCUACGGGAGGCAGCAGUGGGGAAUUUUGGACAAUGGGCGCAAGCCUGAUCCAGCAAUGCCGCGUGCAGGAUGAAGGCCUUCGGGUUGUAAACCUCUGUCAUGGGGAAGAAGUAAGUGACGGUACCCCAAGAGGAAGCCCCUGCUAACUACGUG
rnacentral:rRNA from 1 species